UACGAAGGGGGCUAGCGUUGUUCGGAUUUACUGGGCGUAAAGCGCACGUAGGCGGAUUGUUAAGUCAGGGGUGAAAUCCUGGAGCUCAACUCCAGAACUGCCUUUGAUACUGGCAAUCUUGAGUCCGGAAGAGGUGAGUGGAACUCCUAGUGUAGAGGUGGAAUUCGUAGAUAUUCGCAAGAACACCAGUGGCGAAGGCGGCUUACUGGUCCGGUUCUGACGCUGAGGCGCGAAAGCGUGGGGAGCAAACAGG
rnacentral:rRNA from 1 species